GUAGGGCAGAGUUUCCUGCAAAGCCAGCCACGUUGCCUGGGGGAGCAAGGUCAACCUGGGGGCUCCUUGCUGAUCCGGCAAUGCCCUGCCACUAAUGGGCUAUGUUUGAGUCCCUGUUCCGCAAAACAAUGACCUUGGUUCCAGGGUAUACCUGGGCCCUGGGCUCUACAAGUCUGGCUGCCAUCUCUGCUUGGAUGCAGGAAGAUACUCAGAGUGGGCAGACCUCUGAAACGUCCUGAACAGGGCUGACCCAAGCAACCUCAGUCCGGGCCUCAGCUACAGGGAGGCCCUGAUGCCGGGGUGGGGAGAGGAGGGCUUGAAGGUGCCUCUCCCUCAACCUCUUGGACCAAGAGUGCUCCAUGGCAUGCCAGGGCACUGCGGAGCUGGCUAGCAGCCCCGGCUGCCGGCUCCUGCUCCCUUCUCCUCCCUCUUCUGGCUCUCCUCCCAUCCCCCUGACUGAAGAUGGUGACAAUGAUGAUGCUAACACACAGUGUUUAUUAUGUGCCGGGAAGUCUUCUAAGCACUUCACGUGUAAUUUUCUGGAGUAUCUGGAUACUCCCGGGCCCCUCCCCAGCAUAUCUCAAACAGACCCCUUUGAAAUCACUGGCUAACCUGGCAGGAUUAAUUCCACAUCAGGUGGAAGCCACAGAGUCUGGCUAAUCAAACCUCCAUCCGAGGAAGUGGGGGAACUGGGACAGGCACCAUCUGGGGUAAUGAAGCCAGGAUCCGCUUUGUGACCCAGCUCUGCCCCAGGGCCCCCCGCACUCCUGCCCCCUGUGCCGACAGCGGCCCUCUCCUAACUACACGUCUCUAGACCUGGCUAUUCUGGAACUGUCUCUCUUUUCUUGCCUGAAAAGAGUCCAGCUUUAUUCAGGGUCUCUAUCUCGAGGCAGAGUGACCUGGGGGAGAAGCUGGGGGCACCAAGCAGCCGGAGCCUGCCUCCAGGUCACCCGCACCAAGCAGCUGACGGGGUCUUGGGAAGAGACAAAACAGCUGCAGUGAAAUCCCUCCCUGUGCCGGUCUUGUGUCACCAGAGCAGGACGAAGAGUCCCAACAGCUGAGCUCUCCUCUGGUGCUCCCCAGCCUAAGAGUUUGCCCGCCUAGGACUCUCCAGCCCCAGAGGGUCCAGAAAACCAGAGCUAAAGGUAGGAACUAAAGAGAGGGGCCGGGGGAGGUGUCCAAAGCGCCUCGGUGUUCCCAUCUCCUUCGCGCACCCCAGAGGUUGGCAUCACACAUGCUGCGCUUUCUGCCCCUUUAGUGGCAUUCCCUCUGACCACCCAGAGACGAAGGGGCACCUGCCACGCCUGCCUGGUCCGCGGAACCGCCUCACGGACUAGGCGAAGGCGGGCAGGCACACCCACCCGGGCACACGCACGGGGGGCUCAGAGAAACACUUACAGCCCCUUCCUCCUUGCCAGGGGGGCUAGGCUUCGGCAGAGUUUUGUCCUCCUCUUUAACCUGAGGGAGCAGACAAAGAAGUCACUGGCAGGUCAGGGCGGGAAAGAGCAUUAAAAGCACCGGAGGAAAACAUCCGAGGGGCCCUCCCUCCCGAGCAGGCAGAGUUCCUGCGCAUUUGGGAGUACUGGGGUGAGGGACAUGAGCAACGGAUACCCUGCGCUGCGGUCAAAACUGUCCAGUGACAACUUCAAGAAUGAAUAGCGGGAUCAGGUACCCUUGCCGUCGGCCACCAGUCACGUGGCCCACUUGGGCGGUCUGAAGAGUGCCAUCAUGGCCUUGGUUACAGGGUGGACGGAAAGGUCCAGCUAACUCAACCCAUGCUCAACUGCAAGAGUCAUUCCCAGCUCAGGCGACAAGUGGUCUGAAUAAGAGGCUCCUGACCUAGUGACUAAGGAGGGAACAACCCCAGGGUAGGAGCCCUACUGGGCCAACGGGGGUAGAAUGGGUGGCCCUUACCAGGCUGGCUCCAACUUGCUUUCAGGUCCCUGUGAUCGCCCCUGGCCCAGAGCCUGAAUGCCUUCCCAGCCACACAGCUGAGCUUGGACUGGGGACAGGAAAUGGGGCAGAGGCAGGGAGGCCAGAUAUUUUGCCAACCUCAGACCCACAAAACUGCUAACCGUGCAGCUGAGGGAGGGAACCCCAAGGUUGGGGGCAGAAUUUAGAAGGAGAGAUGCCUGAGCUCUGGCUGUUCUGGCCAGGAGGUUGGGCUCAGCCCCGGAGCUAGAGGGCAGGAGCAGAGUUGGGAAAAGCUCAGACAAUGCCUCAUGGACUUCGUUUCUCUUCUUUCCCCAGUCACUUAGGACUAUGGGAAAAAGGCAGGUCUGUGAGCAGCUCUACCCGUCUUCAACAUGCCUUUCCUUCCGGGCACCGUGGGGUAAAAGCAUUGGAAGGAGUCCUCAAUUCCUGAUGGAAAAGAUCUUUAGAAACGUUUCCAGAAUCAUGUUAAUUGUCCCCCUGGGGGGAGGGGGAGUCUUUGGCUACUUUUGAGCUCUAAUUAGCAGUGCCUAGGGGCACUGACCCGCAUGAUGGCCGCUGAAGUUUUAAAGCUGCGACUUGUCUACCGAGCUAUUUUCAAUGGGCUGAAGCUUCAAAGUUAGCUCACACUGUUACGGACAGGGGGAAAAUGGCAAUUAUUCAUCAGAGUGCGCUCUACUACUUUAGAAAUUGGGACUGGAGCAGAUUAAAGGGAAGGGAGGGGCUGGUGGAGCGGGAAUGAGGGGGAGUGGGAGAGACUGGGUCUGCACCUGCUGCCCCCACCCCCGGUGCCUAUCGCUCACACCACCCCACACCCCCAAGGUCACACCAUGCAUUAGCUCCUGGGCACACAGGUUAGAGGAGCAGCCAGUGUUCACAAACCACACAGACAAGCUCAUUACUGCACGCGGUGCUAUUAGCUUGGGCUCAGGGAUGGCCCAGAUUCCGAGUCCACUCCGUGUCCUCCACCGGCUCCAAUUCUGUCCUCCCUCCAGUGAUGCGAGCUUAGGACCCCAAGUGUCCCGCCCAAGUGGUGAGGCACUGGGGGAAACACUGGCCGCCCCCCGAAAGGUCUGGGACACUAGGCCCAGCUCUGAGCUCAGCUCUGGAUUUAGCCUGAGGCUGACUCACGGCCUCCCCCACUGCCCCCCCAACCAAGGGCUCUGUCUGUUACAGGUCAUUGCCCAGCUGGGGACUGUGCACAGCACAAAGGCACGCCCAGGUCGGCAGCCUGAAUCACCCUCUGGAACCCAGGCAGCCAACUGGCCUGGCUCCCAACCCUUGGCUCCUUUCCUUCUACCCACCACAGUCCCCAGACCAGGGGGGACCCAGUUCCAGAAGCCUCAGAACCAACGCCAUCCCUCGCGGCCCCCCACAGCGGCCCACGUUCCCAGCGGUCUGCACCCUAGGAGUCUGGGUAAAGAGAGGCACUCAAGCCCUUAACUCAGUGAACCGAAGUUACGGGCCUGUGAGGGCAUUAACAAAGCUUCCCCAGGACUGCAGCAACUUUGGCUUUCUACCUGCAACACGCCAUCACCAGCCUGGAGGAAGGGGACCUGGAGAAUUCCAAAGCCACUUCACCUAUGGGUGAGAAAUUAGGACUGGUCCUCUUGAGAAUCAACAGGCAGAAUCUGCCUCAGCCCAGAGAGAGGCUUCGUUCAAAGAAUCCGUUCAGUUCAGUGGAGUUCAAGAACUUGUUUGUUCUUAUUACUGCUCAUCAUGAAUUAACAGUGAAAAAUUGGAGAAUUUUUUGUUUUCAGUUAAUUAUUUUUAUUUAUAUUCUUUAUUAUUUUUAUUUUAAGUUUAUUUAUUUCGAGAGAGACAGAGACAGAGAGACAGGGAGAGGGAGAAUGUGAGCAGGGAGGGGCAGAGAGAGAGGGAGAGGGAGAAUCCCAAGCAGACUCCUCACUGUGAGCACAGAGCCAGAAGCAAGGCUCAAUCCCAGAAACUGUGAGAUCAUGACCUGAGCCAAGAUUAGGAGUCGGAUGCCCAGCCAACUGAGCCACCCAGGCGCCCCACAAUUAUUUUUAACUUGCUUUGUCGACUUGUCUCUUUUACUAUCCAGUUCAUAUGCUAGCUGUGAAGUUUGUUUAAUUAUUUAAUUCAUUUGUUCUUUGCUCUCCUGCUCAAGUUUUUCUAUGUGUGCAGGGGGAAGUCCACUCAUCCCAGGCUGUGAGGACACCAGUCCAUUCACGCCCGGGCCUGUUCCUCUGUAUCAGCUCUUCCUUAGAAAUAUCACUCUAGGCACAAAGAUGGGGUUCUCCGCAGAUGAAAUUCUCUCUGUGGCUUUUGUAAGGAACUGCCUGAAUAUUUCUCCUUCCUUCCUUAUCACUGGAUUUUAAAGAUUUUAAAGAUUUGCUUAGAAUCCAAAAAACCUGUCUUUAACCAAUACAUAACAGAUGAGGAACUCAGCCCCAAAGACGGAGGCAAUGUCUCCAUGACGGUCACUGCCAGAGGUUGGAACAAACCCUGACCUGCUCCCUCGUGGGACUUCAGCCAUUUCUUUUGUUUUGUUUUUUUUUUUUUAAUUUUUUUUUUUUUUUUUAAUGUUUACUUUUGAGAGAGAGACAGAGUGCAAGCAGGGCAGGGGCAGGAGAGAGGGAGACACAGAAUCCAAAGUAGGCUCCAGAGUCUGAGCUGUCAGCACAGGGCUGGACGCGGGGCUUGAACUCACAAACCGCGAGAUCAUGACUCAAGCCGAAGUCAGACGCUUAAUCAACGGAGACACCCAGGCGCCCCGAACUGCAGCCAUUUCUGACAACAUCAUUAAUUACUGAAUAUGGAACACCUACCCUAAUGAGAUAGGCCCUGUAAAAGUAUUUAACACAUUUUAAAAAAAUGUUUAUUUAUUUUUGAGAGAGAGCACAAGUGCGGGAGGGGCAGAGAAAGAAAGACACAGGAUUCUAAGCAGGCUCUGCCUAUCAGCAGAGAGGCCAACACUGGGCUUGAAUCCACAAACCAUGAGAUCGUGCCCUGAGCCAAAAGUUGGAUGCUCAACCGACUGAGCCACCCAGGUGCCCCUUUAACACAUAUUUUUACUCUUAUUUAUUUUAAGGUUUAUUUAUUUUAUUUUGAGAGAGAGAGAGAGGGAGAGAGCACGUGGGAAGAGCAGAGAAAGAGGGAAAGAGAGAGAACACCAAGCAGGUCCCACGCUGUCACUGUAGAGCCCGAUACAAGGCUUAAACCUGCCUUGUGUUUAAGAGAUCGUGACCCAAGCCGAAACCGAGUCAGACACUUUAACUGACUGAGGCACCCGGGAACCCAAAUGUAUUUUUAAAUAUAAGUCUUACAACAGCCUCAUGACAUCAGUCUCAUUUUACUAAUGAGGAAGAAGACUCAGAAUGAGAUUAAGUCACAAAGCCAUUCAGUGGUGGAGCUGAGAUUUGAACCCAAGGUGCUCCGAGUGCAAGGCCCAUGCUGCUCCCUGAGAGGCCCACCUUUGGCCCUGGCUUAGGCAGGAUCUGAGGGGCUGAGUCAUCCUGGUGUAUGUACUGUGUCGGUGUCAGUGUUCAGGAGGUCUGGAUCAAGCUAAAGCAUGGAUGGACAGGGAGGGCACUAGUGUUCCAGGUGCCCAAACAGAGUUUCUAGACUUGCAAAGGGAGACCCCAGCCACGAUCCUGCCCCUCUGAGGCUCUGACCACCUCCCCGACUACUCUCUCUGGCACUUCUGGCUUCUUCCGUUGAGGGAAGGGAAGAGAAACCAAUGCUCACGGAAUACUUGCUAGGAGCCAGGCACGGUGGCAGUUGCUUCAUACUGUCUCCUUAUUUAAUCCUCUCAACAGCCCACUUUUUGGAUAAGGAAAUAGAGAGGGUAAGUACCUGGCUGAGGACCCCAAAGUCAGUAAGUGGCGGCCCUGGGAUUCACAAGCAGGUUGUGCGCCUACAACGUUCCCUGGACUGUGGUUUCUUCGCGGAUGCAAACUCUAUUCUACCCAUCAUACUGUGGGUGCUUAAUAAAUAAAUGUUGGCUGCACGGCAGUCCUGCAACGGGGGAUCUUUGGCCAACUUCUUGUUCCCAUCUGGUUUCUCCCCUCAACUGUAAACUAUGGAGAAUAACACUUGCCAAUCCUGAUUCCCAGGGACGAGGGCAAAACAAGAGAGGUAAAAUCUCUAAACUGAGCAACAAUUAAUAGAUCGUGUACACUCAAUGCCGUGGGGUGGGAGGGGAGGGCAGGGGCACUCUGAAAUUGCUUAGUAGCUCUUUGGCAAGCAACAACAGCCAUAAAAUGCAUCAUCCUCUGGCCCUAGCCACCCCAUCUAAGGAAGGUAUAAGCAAUAAGUCGAUUUAAAGAAAGGAAGAGAAAGAAAAAACACCCACAAACCCAUGCAGAGACUUUUAAAGAAGCACUCUGUAUACCAGCCCCCAGUUGGCAAUAACUCAAAUGCCCAGAGUUAGGGAAGGGUUGGCUAAACUACGAUACUUAGGUACAAUGCGCCAUUAUGUUGCCUCUUAAACUAACAAAUACAUGAUCAAUGUGACCACAGGGAAAACUCCAUCUAAAAUAAUAUCAAUCAAAGCAACUAGAACCUAAAUAGUAUGCAAACAGUCAUCAUCACAGUCUUGCAAAUUAGACACAAUGGAGACAUUUGGUAUUUAUUCUGUUAUGUAUUUGUUACUUACUGUUUAUUUCUAUUGUAAAGAUGGCUAAAUAGUCAAUAAAAAAGAAAAAGCAGAGGAGAUAAUAGCUGAAAGCAUUUUUGUCAAAGAGGAGAAAUCCAAGAGAUGUGCUGAGGGACCCAUCUAUGCUCAGCCUGGGAAGGCUUCCAACACUCAGGGGGCUGGACCAGGCUGCAUUUUACCCUCUGCAUGGACCUGCGAAGGCCAUCAGCCCUUAACUUACCACCCUCUGUGCCCCUCACAGGGAGGAAUGGGGGCACAAAUGCCCCCAGGAGAAUCUUUCCACCUCCGCCCAGGCUCCCCACAGGCAUGUAAUACCCAGCCUGGGAAAACACAUCGAGGCCAAGUGUCCAUGCAGAUAUCCCCACACUGGGAGCCCCCAAGGGCAGUGGGAAGAGAAAGAGGAGAUCCCGCUGUCUGUGACCCAGGGAACUUGCACAUUUGGAGAAGAAAGAGGCAUGGCAUCCUCCUCUGUCUCCUUUCCCACUCUGAGGAGCAAAGAGUAGCUCUCCGGAGACGCUCUCGCUACCAAUCCCACCCUAGCACCUACUUAUCUAAGAACGAGAGGGAGGAUGAGGGCAUGGGGAAGAAAGAACAGUAGUAAGAGUAAUAACAGUUAACCUUUACUGAGCAUGUACUAAGUGCCAGGUACCGUGCUGAAUCCUUUUCAUGCACUAUCUCAUUUGACCCCUACAGUAUUCCUCUGAAGUAGACAGUAGUAUCAUUCUUACUUUACAGAUGAGCAAAAGGAAGCUCAGAAAUGACACGGCCAAGGCCUCAUGGCAGCGAGUCGCAGAUCAGAACUCACAGCCAGGUCCGUCCUCCAGCAAGAACCUCCCAGGCUCACUUUAAGGAAUGGAAGCAAGCCCUGCCCCCACCUCCCUUGAUUCACCUGCAUCGUUGAGCUUCCGUGACAUCAUCUGCCGGAAUAACUGCUGGGGUAGAAAGCAGGGGCUUCCAGAGAUGACCUGCCCUUCCACUAUGACCCAAACAAGCUUUGCACAGAGCUGCUUGAGAGGAGCGAGGCCCCUCUGGGGAGUGGCCUGAAGGCCAUGCUGCCAGCCAAAGGAGGAGGGGGAGAAGAACUUGGCAGGGACACCCUGGCCCCUUUGGUCCAGCCUCCAGCGAGAGCCCUCCCCCACCCCAGGGAGGAACAGAAAGCAGCCGAGCGCCUGCAGUCACUACCGGCCAGCCCGGAGGAAGCAGGUGCACUGGAAUGGCUUCCUGCUGCCACUGCAGUUGCAGAAGGGCCCGGGUUUCCUCCUCCAACGGCCGGACCUGCUGGAGGCCUCCCUUCCCUGGGGACACUCGCUGCCCCUCUGCGGAGCCUUUUGCUGUCUGUCUCACCAUCGUCACACACGGCCCCAGAUCUUCAACAUGGUGCUGGUGGCCUGGGGACCCAGGCUGGGGUGGUGUGGGGAGGAAGCUAGGGCAGGAAGCACCCACCUCUCAGGGUGAGGAGUCGCUGUGGCCCCACCCCAGCUACCCACACACACCUCAGCACUGGUACCAGUUGUGUGGCUGGGGCGAGGCAGUCCUUGGGCACAGGGAGAUACGAAUGCCCAUGGGCACAUGGCUCUGGGCCCACCACCGCACUGGGCCAGCCCACACACUGCCAACUGCUGACACGACUAAAAACCUGACCCUUGGUGGCCGGGAGGGGUGGCGCUGGGGGAACGGAACGACUGGGAGGCAGCUAUGUCUGCCUCACUGGCUUUUUUAAGGAACUUACUCUUCUGGAGUAAUCUCUGCUUGAAAGAGACCUACAGACAGUCAGGGCAUCCCCGAGAUGCCAUCUGCGCCCCUUCCAAGUGUCCGAUCCACAGAAAUGCAGAAGGCCACGCUGAGUCCACUGGUGGCCGUCCGGACAACUCCAAGAACCACCCCUCUCCAGCACCUUUCUCUUGUCCACCAGGAGGAAGAAGGGUGGAAGGUUAAGCUGGCAACACAAAGCAGGGAACAAGACUUCCCAGUGUCUAGAAGGCCCCUCCCGUCCGGAGCUGCCCAACCCUGGCCGGUUGGCUGUCGUUGGUUGGAAGGACUGAGUGGCCACCAGGACUGCAGGUACCAGGUAUGCUGGGAUGGAGAGGGUGAUACAGUGUGGGGAAGGGGCAGAGGAGGUGAUUAGAGUGAGGGCACAGGUAGGGGGCAGGCAGUGUUGGAGGGUUAGGGGCAAGGGACAGGGAGGGUGGGACUUUCCUACUGACACACACCCGGCUCCCGGACAGCUGAGCUGAUAUGGCCCCUAAAAAUAGCAGAGGAAUUUGAGACCUGCAGCCCCCGGCCCCACAGGCCAGGAAUGAGACAAGCACAUUUGCGUACCCACACACACACACACACACACACACACACACACACACACUCACUCACUCACCAUCAUGCAUGAACACUCAAUCACAGCACAGUGUUCUUGAGAACACACAAAUCAUAGGCUCACCCCAGCCAUCUAAUUACUGCAGCGGAGGCCAAGAAAACCACUAACGUCAUAUCCAAUCCAACACACAGGGCCUGCUGCACACUGUGCCCCAACAGCAGCCACGCAGCCAUCCUGUAAAGUCCUGCAGGAGUAGAGACCCAUGCGAUCAGUCUGAGGCCCACUGUCGCUGCCUGGCUGUAAAUACACUGGGGACUGAGUGCAGGAACCAACUGCACUCUCUGUGUGCACAUCCCUCACCCCACACAGCCAGAGACUGCGCAGGCACGGAGGAGGGUGUGGUGGGUGGGCCUUAGCCCUGCAGGCAGAGGAAAUCGUGGGUGUCUGGCCAAUGAGCAAGGGCUGCCGGUGAAAAGCCAGGGCUCCUCGUGAAGAGGGACUCUGGCCCUGGUCUUUGGUUAGUGCCACAGGAUGCCCAGACCAGGGCUGGGAACUUCCAAGAGGCUGAAAUGGGAGCUGGGGGCCGUUCAGAAGGAGCCAAUGACAGGCCUUUUGAAGCUGUCAGCUCUGUAGAAAAAAGGAAGCUUGUCUCCAGGAAAAAAAAAAAAAAAGGGUGGGGUGGGGUGGGGGUGCUGGGAAGGUCUGGAACAGAGCCAUCACCUAACCAGUGUCCAACCAGAGUGGCUGGAGACCCCAGGCCUGCCACCCCGGCCAGUCUCGUGUGCCCAGUGGGUCCUGUAAACAGCAUGGCUUUCUCUGUGCAAAGGUUGGUGAGCACCGCCCGGGAGGACAAAAGCCUGCUCUGCCUCCUCCCUGUCACACACUGUACAAGCGGAGUCACCCACGGCCAUGAGGGCGUGGGGCCGGUGCCUCUGCUUUCUAGGGACUGCUUGCUGUGUCUUCCCAGGGAGAUCAUCUGGCCCUAUUGGGGCAUGUGCUGUGUUAGAGAUCUUCACAUCCCCUAGGCUUUCUUGACAUAUUGGUGCCAACUGGGGCUGCAGACUGAAAUCCCCUGUGGGACUCUGAGACUAUCGAUGCCUGAAUCCCACCCUUUCCUCCUACUUUCUGAUUUAAUCGGCCCGGGAGGGAGGCCUGGACACUAGGAUUUUUAAAAGUUCCCCCAAGUGAUUCUUACAUGCAGCUGAGGCUGAGAACUGCUCAAUCUGAAAGCAGCAUAAGGCCUGAUGCAGAGGUUCCCUGUCGUUCAAUCACUGAGUGCGUGGGAGUGGCUGGGUGGCUCGGGGGCUUGAGCGUCCAACUGCAGCUCAGGCCAUCUCUCAGUUCGUGAGUUCGAGCCCCACGUCAGGCUUGCUGCUGUCAGCACAGAACCCGCUUCAGAUCCUUGGUCCCCCUCUCUCUCCACCCCUCCCCUGCUUGUGCUUGCCCUCAAAAAUAAAAUAAACAUGUAAAAACAUCACCGAGGGCGUAAAUGGAUGAAUGAAUGAACAACUUAGCUGUGUGACCACAGCCAAGUGACUUCCAAGGCCCUCACCUGCAAAACAAAGGUUCUGCCCACAGUGACUCUUUUGCAUAGUCAGUUGGAGACUGGGGAAGUCUCAGUGAAUGAAAGGGUUUGUCUCUCAGGGUGCCUCAGUUGGUUAAGCAUCCGACUUCAUUUGGCUCAGGUCAUGAUCUCAUGGUUCGUGGGUUCAAGCCCUAUGUCGGGCUCUGAGCCUGGAGCCUUCUUUGGAUUCUGUUUCCCCCUCUCUCUCUGCCCCUCCCCCACUCAUACUCUGUCUCCCUUUCUCUCAAAAGUAAAUAAAAAUAUAAAAAUAAAGAAGGGGUUGUUUCUCAAAGUGUGGUCCCCAGACCAGCGGCAUCAGCAUCACCUAGGAACUUGUUAGAUAUGUAAAUUUUUGGGCCCUGCUCAAGACCUACUGAAUCAAAAACUCUGGAUAUGUGGCCCAGCACUUGUGUUUUAACCAGCCCUCCAGGUGAUUCUGAGAAGCACUGUUUUAAAGGAAUUAUUCAUGGGGCGCCUGGGUGGCUCACUCAGGUAAGCGUCCGACUUCAGCUCAGGACACGAUCUCACGGUUCAUGGGUUUGAGCCCUGCGUCAGGCUCUAUGCUGACAGCAUGGAGCCUACUUUGGAUUCUGUGUCUCCCUCUUUCUCUGCCCCUCCCCUGCUCACAGUCUCUCUCAAAAAUAAGCAUUAAAAGAAAUAAUAAUAUGGGAAUGCAAGCUGGUGCAGCCACUCUGGAAAACAGUAUGGAGGUGCCUCAAAAAACUAAAAAUAGAACUACCCUACGACCCAGCAAUUGCACUACUAGGCAUUUAUCCACAGGAUACAGGUGUGCUGUUUCGAAGGGACACAUGCACCCCCAUGUUUAUAGCAGCACUAUCAACAAUAGCCAAAGUAUGGAAAGAGCCCAAAUGUCCAUCGAUGGAUGAAUGGAUGAAGAAGACAUGGUAUAUAUAUACAAUGGAGUAUUACUCGGCAAUCAAGAAGAAUGAAAUCUUGCCAUUUGCAACUACGUGGAUGGAACUGGAGGGUAUUAUGCUCAGUGAAAUCAGCCAGUCGAGAAAGACAAAAAUCACAUGACUUCACUCAUACGAGGACUUUAAGAGACAAAACAGAUGAACAUAAGGGAAGGGACACAAAAAUAAUAUAAAAACAGGGAGGGGGACAAAACAGAAGAGACUCAUAGAUAUGGAGAACAAACUGAGGGUUACGGGAGGGGUUGUGGGAGGGGGGAUGGGCUAAAUGGGGAAGGGGCACUAAGGAAUCUACUCCUGCAAUCAUUGUUGCACUAUAUGCUAACUAAUUUGGAUAUAAAUUUCAAAAAUAAAAAAUAAAAUUAAAAUAAAAAAUGAAAUAAAAUAAAAUAAAAUAAUAAUAAUAAAAAUAAAGGAAUUCUUCAUGGUGUACCAUGGUCAAUAGUGAGACUUCCAGAGCCAGCCUGCCUGGUUCAAUCUUGGCUUGUCCAUCUGGUGAGCUAUACAAUUUAACCCUGUGCUUUGAUUUCUUCACCUGUACAAGGAGGGAAAAUAAUUGUACCUACCACACAGGGUUAUUGUAGGCGUUAAGUGAGUUACUGCUUGCAAAGCUCUAGGAACAGUGUCUAACACAUAAGUUUUAAAUAAACUUAUUGAAAAAAAAGUUUGCAAUAGUUUUAACUAUUGUUCUCUAUCUGUGAUCACUAGCAGGGAGAAAAGAAAAGCAUCCCAAGCAAAAUUUCCAGGUGACUGAUGACUAUUCCCUUUAAGGCACAAAAUGCUUUCUAUUUUGAGUAGUUUCCUAAAUUCUACUGCUAUCUGUAAUCAUACAAAUACACAUUUUAUAGAUUCUUAAGAAUAACACUCUGAACCCAUCUCAAACAUCUCAAACUCUGAGCUCCCUCUCUUGAACCCAAUCUGUUUCCAUUCUGUACAGAAGGGCACAUCAUCCCCACUGUGAUGACUCUUGACUUCCCGGCUGGGCUCCUGUCCUACCAAUGUCCCUGGCCACUCUCAAAGGGCACCAACCCUGUCCUGGGUACAGCAGUCAGCCUGCGGCCUCGCUCCGCACCCAUGUUAGGAAGGCCAGAUGCCCUUUGUGUCCAUAUACUUGCUUUUUAGUUCUUUUGUCCCUUACCCUGUCAGGCCAUCAGCUGUCACUCUGCCUGUCAGCAUGCCUGUCCCCAACAGUCUCACUUCCUUCUAACAAGCAGUUUCUGCCAAAGACUAGAAAACUAGAUAACCAUGCCUGAUACGAAAGAGCCCAGAGCAGAGCAAACGGAAUACCAGAGACCACUCUCCUGUGAGGGAAGGUCUGAGUUUUCCCACGCAUUCUAGAGGGUCUUCUAGGCCCACCUUCCAUUCAGCAACACUCUGGAAGAUGACUUCUGGGAGACUGAGGUGUCACUUUACCCUCAGAGUCUUGUUCUGAAUUGUUAGAAACCACGUGUUGAUCACUCCUCUUUUCUGCUCGGAUGACCAGAUGCUGUCAGUUCUGUCUGUGAGCUGACUCGUGUUACUGAUGGAGAUCAUCUCGGAGCAGGGACAAGGGCAGACCUCUUCAGAGGGAAUCCUGAGGCCCUGGCAACCCAUUCAGCUUCACACACAGCCACAACCAGUCUCUCUGAUGCCCAAAGGUCAGUGCUGCCUCCCGGCCUGGCCCACUCUGCAUAAGCCUACCCUAUGACUCCAGGGGGCCACACAGUCACUCCCACAGCCAGCCAGCCGACCCCAGACCCCUUGGCCUGCCUCCUUCCCCUUUCUCCCUCUCCCCAGCACUCCUUGCUCUCACUCUCUUAGGCAGAUCUUCCCAGGGUCCCCUGCCUUCAUCACCACCAGAGCAUUUACUUGUAAAUGCCUUUCUACCUUGCCGAACCCUCCCAUCUGUCAAGGUCCAUCUUGAGUCUCACCUCCUUCAUAAAGCCCUCCCCAGACCCCAAGGCCUGCAUGGUAACACUGUGCAAAGAGCACACACUUCCAGCCAGGCACGCCUAGGGGUGCUGAAUCCCAGCUCGACCUCUUUCUCACUGUCUGACUAAGGGAAAGUGAAACUCAGCUUCUUAGAGUUUCCACUUUUUUGCCUUAGAAUAUACCUCCCUUAUGGGGUUGCUUUGAGAAUUAGAAAAAAAAAAUAGGGGCACCUAGGUGGCUCAGUCAGUUAAGCGUCUGACCUCAGCUAAGGUCAUGAUCUCAUGGUUGACGUGUUCGAGCCCUGCAUCGGGCUCUGUGCUGACAGCUCGGAGCCUGGAGCCUGCUUCAGAUUCUGUGUCUCCCUCUCUGUCUGCUCCUCCCCCACUCAUACUCUGUCUCUCAAAAAAUAAACAUUAAAAAAAAGUUAAAAAAAAUAGUAGGGGCGCCUGGGUGGCUCAGUUGGUUAAGCAUCUGACUUCAGCUCAGGUCAUGAUCUCAUCAUUCAUCAGUUCAAGCCCUGCAUCAGGCUCUCUGCUGACAGCGUGCAGCCUGCUUCGGCUCCUCCAUCCCCCUCUCUCUCUGCCCCUCCCCCUCCUCAAAAAUAAACAAACAUUAAAAAAAAAGUACAUAUAAAUCACCUGGCAUUGUGCCUGGCAAAUUGCAGGCAGUGAUUAAAUUAUUUUCAAAACCACAGUACUGUCUACACCUAAAUAUCACCAUGUACAUAGGGUGGUUCUUCAAUCUACUCAAUAUGGUGCUCUGCGAGAUACAAUGGAACCUACAUAGAUACUACAGGGGUUAGAUUCUAAAGCCAGCCUGUAAGGCAAACAUAGAAGAUAGUCAGAAGUACUCUUGAAAUUCCCAAAGUAUAGUACACAUGGUUUUGUAUAUGCAGGAAAACAGAUACAUGCACAGCCUAUGACAAAAAGAAAUACACAAAAUACAUGUUUCCAUUUUAGACUACAGUCAGCACAGAGCUGAGCUGUCAACACAGAGCCUGAUGCAGGGCUCGAACUCACCAACUGUGAGAUCAUGACCUGAGCUGAAGUUGGAUGCUUAACCGACUGAGCCACCCAGGCACCCCUGGAAUUUACUAAAGUUUAAUGUGUAUAUGCCACAACUACACAGCGUAAACUAAUAUUUUGAAUGGUAAUCUAUCUGUGGUUAUGGUUCAGUUUUCUCUCCCUGGACGGCAGGGACCGUUUCCUCCUUCUUUUUAGAUCUCCUGCCUGCACUAGGCACACAGUAGGUGUUCGAUAAGUAUCCACUGGAUUUAACUCACUGACGUGAAAGGUGCUGGUGAAAUACACCUCGUAGAACACAAUAGGGAAAAAAGGGAUAUCCAGAUAGAGUAACAACUUCAAGGACUCUGCUCUCCGUGUGGGGUGAGUGAAAGGUCCUUGGCUCUGUUACUGGUGCUGGGCCAGGCGCAGAGCAGUGGGAGCAGGGGUGGGGGGACCAGGCUACCCAGGAGGCUCUGAGGAGCAAAGGAAGCCAUUCAGGCUUUCAACUAGCAAUUACUUGUAAUACCUCAAGGUGAACACUGUGGGGAAGCACGAUGCCUGCUUCUUUUUCUGUCUCUUCACAGCUAGACUGUGAGCUUCCUAAGGCAGAGGUGAUAUGUGUGUUGUUCAUUGUUAGGUCCCUUGCACCUACCUAGUGCUUGGUACAUAACUGAGCGAGUGAUUGCAACAAGAGAAAGCAGACAUGGUUCCUGACCUCAACAAACAUACAGACCAGAAGAAGAGAUAACAAAUGUACCCAAACAAUUAUAAUUCAAUCUAGAAUCUGCUCAACGCUCCAACAGGACCGUGGAUAAUGUUCUAGGAAAAUUCAGAGGCAGAGACCUUUUCCUGUUGGGGAGUUAGGCAGACAGCUUAGGGGCAGCUUGGGGCUGGGCCGUGAAAGAUAGAAGAAAAUCUGUAAUGUGGAGGUGAGGGAGGAAGAGAAUUUCAGGGUAAAGGAGUAGAAUAAGAGAAGGCAAGGAGUUGGGAAAACAGACAGUAAGUUUGGAUGAAGUGUAGGACACACGUAGGUAAACGAUGAGAGACAAAGCUGGAAAGGUAGGUGAGGCCAGAUCAAGAAGCCCCAUCUGCCACAGUAGACAGGCAUUCUUUCAGCUGCCCACUGUCCACUCCUCCAACCUCUGAAUACAGCACCCUAAUUUUCCCUUGGGGACCUACCCUAGCAUAUGACUUGAGUCUGGCCGAUGAGUGUAUCAUGUCCCCAGACUAUAGGGAUGGGUUUGUGGAAGGCAUGUGAACCCAAUUAGUAUCAAGGACAUAUCACGAAAGUUUGGGAUUAUUGAGUCACACACUUCUUUUCCCACAAGACCUGAACCUGGUGCUGUGCCAUUUUGUCACCACUUGUCUGAGGCGGAGCCAGUAUGGAAGAUGAACUCAGAGACAGAAAAGGCCUGGGUCCUGUUUCAGUCUCUAGGUAAGACUGAGCCUAUAGCUAGUUCUACCCCCUGCAUAUUUCAGAUGUUUGAGCCCAUGCAUUUCUUCAUUUUAAACCAGGUCAGCUGGGCUCUGUCACUUGCAACUCAAAGGGCUGUACCUGAGGAAAAAAGUAAGGUAAGCGGCAUAAAGACAAAGCAGACACAUACUGAGCACUAGCCAUGAGUCAGGGACAGUGUUACUCGUUUUCUUCACAAAACACUGGGAGGUGAGUUUCUUCACAAAACUUUUGCCCAUGCAAAAGAGGAACUGCAGGCUGGGAAAGCAAGGCUUACAGCGGUUAAAUAACUUGCCCCAAACCACACAGAUAGUGAUUGGUAAGGCCGGGGUGAGCCAUUCCGACUCCAGAGCCAGCUCCUUGCACUCUGUCUCCUGCCUGGAAAACAGUAGGAGUCACAGCAGGUUUCUGGAGAGAGAAGGGGCAUGAUCAAACUGUGUUUUACGAAUGCUGAUCUAACAGAAGGAUGCUGGGAAGCAAAGGAGGCUGAAAGCUGAAAGACCAUUGGAAGUCAAGGUGAGGGCCAGAAGAAAGAUGGGCAGAGGGUUGCCCUGUUCUGGCAGUGGAUGGGGAAGAGAGGGUGAUUCGAGACAGAGACUUGGUGGCUACCGGGGAGGAUGGGAAAUGGGCACGAAGUUGACGGGAGGGGUUGCGAAGAAGAUCUAAAGCCUCCAAGGUUUCAAGCUGUCAAGAUUUCAAAAGAACAGCGUGAAGCCACUGUCCAAAACAGGAAUGUCUGAUGGAGGCUGAUUUAGAGGGAGAUCGCUUGAAAAACACUGGGCCUGAGGUUCUAUUUAACACCCUAAAAUAAUACUCAUCUGACCCUAUUUGCCUCUCUAGUUCUUUAAACCAAAACUCCCGGGGUGCCUGGGUGGCUCAGUCGGUAAGGCGUCUGACUUCCGCUCAGGUCAUGGUCCUGUGGUUUGUGAGUUUGAGCCCCGCAUCGGGCUCUGUGCUGACCGCUCAGAGACUGGAGCCUGCUUCGGAUUCUGUGUCUUCCCCUCUCUCUGCCCCUCCCAUGCUCAUGCUCUGUCUCUGUCUCUCAAUAAUAAAUAAAUGUUAAAGAAAACAAAUUAAAAAAAAAAAAACUCCUUUUAAAAAAAAGUCUAUAAACCCUAUCUCCAAGUAGAUAGUUAUCACGUAGUGCUUGUAUUAUUACUAAUUUGCAAGGUAUAAAAUGUCAUUAAUAGAACUUAUUUAGCCCCCUCAGUUAGGGGGCAUGCACGUUUCAAGCACUCAGCCCUUAGAGCUGGAGGGGACCAGCCUCCUGAGGGAGGAGGGCUCCCCAUCACUCCAGGGGCACCCCAGAGAGCAGUUUCAGAGUUCCUCAGCACCAGUGCCUUCUCUCUCCUGGAAAGGAUGAUCUUUUAUUUUUACAGUGUGUGUGUGUGUGUGUGUGUGUGUGUGUGUGUAACAAAUGGCUUCUCUUUUAUGAAAUAACAGUGUUGGUAGGCAGUGCCUGGUAGUCUCUGAAGUACGAAUUUUUUUUGAAAUUUUACUGGACGUCAAUGAUGAGUGGAUCCCAAAGUGGAAGAGGACAGAACCCCUUUAAGAACAGGGAUGGCCACAGGGACGGCAAGGAGCGCUGAGAAGUGUAACCUGAAGUGGGGAAAGGUGCAGGGCUGGGCCCAGACACUGCUGCCCUCCAGGUGGUCGUGGCUGGUGGAAGCCCCAGGCCCCUGCCACACUGGGCCCGCGCUUCCCGGCCCAGCCCAGCCGCCGGCAGACGCAGGGGCGGAGCCGGGGGAGGGGCCAGGCCCCGUACCAGUGCACAUGCGCACAUGCAUCCAGAGCACCGGGACGCACCCGCCCUGCAGCGCCUCCAGAGACCGGCAGAGGGCGGCCUCCCCCUUCUCGCCAGCCCUGGCUGCCGAAGACGCGGGAUUUCAACGCCGCAAGGCUGGCGUCCAGGCCACGCCCCCAAGAGGCGUCCCCCGGGAGCUCAAGACAGAGGGGGCUGCCGCGGCAAGAUGGCCUCUCGCUUUAUCCUGGAGGGAUAAGGCAAGAAGGGGCAGUGAUGAGCUCAGCGCCGCCUUUGUUUUAAUCGUCGCUCCAUUCCCCAAACCCAAAACAGCCCUGCAAAUAGUAGGCACUCAAUAAAUGCUUAUUGCUGAAAUAAAAUGGAUGAAUGGAUGAAUACAUGAAUAAACAGAAGACUUCCAGGGAAGCUUUAAACAUGUGUGCGGGGGAGUGGUCUGAGACUAGCAGUCUAGGAAAUUCCGGGGAGGUGGGGGCAGCCCCAGAUCACUACCCUCACUACCACUUGCGCUUCGGGCUUGGCAGUCCCCUAGGCCCUGCCUUAGCCCACCCAAAGGUUUGCUCAGAGCCUGGUGACACCACACCAUCUCAAGGGCACAGAGCCCAAGUGGUGACGUCUGGGCUUGUCCUCUCUGCUAAGACUAGGAGUCUGUCCCCUCAGAGUCAGAUCCUGGCUGCCUGCAGGGACCACUCCAGUAGGUCUGCUGCUC